GAAUUGUCAAACGGGUUGUUGCUGGCCCUCAUAGGGGGCAUGUGCACGCUCUGUUUACACAUCCACUCACACCUGUGCACCCUCUGUAGUUCUAUGGUCUGGGGGACCCUGUCUUCCUUCUGUGGUUCUACGUCUCUACACACACACUGUAAUAAAGUUUUAUGGAAUGUACAUCGCGUCUAACGCAAUACAAUACAACUUUCAGCAACGGAUCUCUUGGCUCU
rnacentral:misc_RNA from 1 species